rnacentral:rRNA from 1 species
UACGACUACAUAUCAGGCAUAUCAAUAAGCGGAGGAAAAGAAACUAACUAAGGAUUCCCUCAGUAACGGCGAGUGAAGCGGGAAGAGCUCAAAUUUGAAAUCUUCAAGGUUUUACCUUGACGAAUUGUAGUUUAAAGAAGUGUUUUCUGUUGGUGUUUUGGUAAAAGUUCUUUGGAAUAGGACAUCAUAGAGGGUGAGAAUCCCGUAUUUGACCGUUACUUUCCAGCUGUGUGAUACACUUUCAAAGAGUCGGAUUGUUUGGGAAUGCAGUCCAAAAUGGGUGGUAAAUUUCAUCUAAAGCUAAAUAUUGGCGAGAGACCGAUAGCGAACAAGUACCGUGAGGGAAAGAUGAAAAGAACUUUGAAAAGAGAGUUAAACAGUACGUGAAAUUGUCAAAAGGGAAGCGUUUGACACCAGUGUUGUUUUCUCGAAAAUCAAUUAAAAAGUGUUGGAUUUUGUAUUGUUAAGACCUUAUCAGCUUACUGUACUUUUUUCUUGCUCUUUUUAAUGCACUUUUCGUUUAACAAGUCAACAUCAAUUUCUUUUGUUGUAAAAGAGUCAUUGGAAGGUGGCUUUUCACUUCGGUGAAAGUGUUUAUAGCCUUUUAUCUCUGCAAUCGGAGAGAUUGAGGUCUGCAGCGUAGAUCCUUCGGGGUUAGAUACAUUGGUGCUAAGCUAUAGCCUUGUAUAGACAACUUGUUGACUAUGCUCAGUCAUGUAGCUUACUCGCUGAUGCUAUUUUACCUACGCUUAGGAUGUUGAUCUCUCACAGUCGAGC